UACGAAGGGGGCUAGCGUUGCUCGGAAUCACUGGGCGUAAAGCGCACGUAGGCGGCUUUUUAAGUCAGGGGUGAAAUCCUGGAGCUCAACUCCAGAACUGCCUUUGAUACUGAGAAGCUUGAGUCCGGGAGAGGUGAGUGGAACUGCGAGUGUAGAGGUGAAAUUCGUAGAUAUUCGCAAGAACACCAGUGGCGAAGGCGGCUCACUGGCCCGGUACUGACGCUGAGGUGCGAAAGCGUGGGGAGCAACAGGA
rnacentral:rRNA from 1 species